AGUGAACGCUGGCGGUAGGCCUAACACAUGCAAGUCGAACGGCAGCACAGUAAGAGCUUGCUCUUACGGGUGGCGAGUGGCGGGCGGGUGAGGAAUACAUCGGAAUCUACUUUUUCGUGGGGGAUAACGUAGGGAAACUUACGCUAAUACCGCAUACGACCUACGGGUGAAAGCAGGGGAUCUUCAGACCUUGCGCGAUUGAAUGAGCCGAUGUCGGAUUAGCUAGUUGGCGGGGUAAAGGCCCACCAAGGCGACGAUCCGUAGCUGGUCUGAGAGGAUGAUCAGCCACACUGGAACUGAGACACGGUCCAGACUCCUACGGGAGGCAGCAGUGGGGAAUAUUGGACAAUGGGCGCAAGCCUGAUCCAGCCAUACCGCGUGGGUGAAGAAGGCCUUCGGGUUGUAAAGCCCUUUUGUUGGGAAAGAAAAGCAGCAGGUUAAUACCCCGCUGUUCUGACGGUACCCAAAGAAUAAGCACCGGCUAACUUCGUG
rnacentral:rRNA from 1 species